rnacentral:rRNA from 1 species
CCUACGGGUGGCAGCAGUGGGGAAUAUUGGGCAAUGGGCGCAAGCCUGACCCAGCAACGCCGCGUGAAGGAAGAAGGCUUUCGGGUUGUAAACUUCUUUUCUCAGGGACGAAGCAAGUGAAGGUACCUGAGGAAUAAGCCACGGCUAACUACGUGCCAGCAGCCGCGGUAAUACGUAGGUGGCAAGCGUUAUCCGGAUUUACUGGUUGUAAAGGGCGUGUAGGCGGGACUGCAAGUCAGAUGUGAAAACCACGGGCUCAACCGGUGGCCUGCAUGUGAAACUGGAGUUCUUGAGUACUGGAGAGGCAGACGGAAUUCCUGGUGUAGCGGUGAAAUGCGUAGAUAUUAGGAGGAACACCAGUGGCGAAGGAGGUCUGCUGGACAGCAACUGACGCUGAGGCGCGAAAGCGUGGGGAGCAAACAGGAUUAGAUACCCUUGUAGUC